rnacentral:siRNA from 1 species
UAGAGAUCUCAUGCACACUUGCCU